CCACAACACCCUGGCACCAGCCGCCAUGAGCCUCCUCCACCCCCCUGGACCAGCCCUCCCUCCAGCCUCCUCCUCAGACGGUGUGCUGGAUGGCCGGCUCAUCGCCCUGCUGCCUUCUUCCUUCAGCGUCGGCCUCCGUGGUGCAGUCCGGCGUCCGUGGAACGUGCAGCUCGCUAGCUCGUUGCAUGCGGUUUCGGCAGUGCAGGCAAGCAAUACACGGCCAUGCCCGCGUCCAAGUGGUGCAGAUUGGUGCCUGUGUCCAUGCACUUCGUAGGUGUAUUCGGGAACAAACAACAAAAAAGUUUGGUCUCCGACGAGCGCCUUGGACAUCUCCCGUAUUUCGUUCCUUGCCUGGGUUACCAUUUUAGUUUUGGUCAGGUAUGAUGCUCACUUGUUUGAGUGAAACCGUGCAGUCCUGCAACUGCAGCUGCGCAGUCCGUAAAUCGCGGCCCUGAAGUUAAGCUCAGUGUUCUGUGCAGUCGACUUCAUGAGCAGUACGCGGGUGGUUCCAUGAGGUGUCGUGCCCUUGUGCGUGCAGUUCGCGUGGCACGGAGAGCCUGUGCAUGCACAAACGUGGCCGCCGGGAGGCGCACAAGGAGGGCGACGACAGCGAAGCCCCCACCUCUAGGAGAUUGAGAAACGAAGGACUUUGCUAGCAAUCUCGUCUACUAAUCCGUGUCAGCAAGAUUUUUAGCAUUAUUUUUUUGCAUGUUCCCCUCGGUUCACUAUUUUGGUUUGGGUAGAAAAAAUGUUAAGUAUAGGGCGGUUCAUAGUUUUCUCUUGUAUAGUGUGCAGCGGUUCAUUUGUCCGUGCACGGCGGUUUGAUAUGUUUUAUUUGAUGUAAAAUAAAGAUAACAGGCAAACAACUAGUAGUUUGUGGUUUAUUUUUUCAUGCUAUAAACUCCUCGCUGUUGGUGGUUGUAACACCCCGGAUGUAACUUACCAUAUUUGUAACUCCAACUCUUGCCAUUUUCGGCUAUGUGUUAUGAUAUUCCCUUCGUGGUCGGGUUUGUCUUUCA
rnacentral:lncRNA from 1 species